ACAGGUUAUGACUCAGAUAGCAGAUUUUUAAAUAAAACAAUAUGUUUUAAUUAGAAUACACUGCAACUGAUAUUAUAUUGAAUAAGUUGAAUAUUAUUUCCUUGAAUAGAGAAUUCUUUAUCUAUAUAAAUAAUUGUGAUGGGUUAGCACUCAUUAGCAGUUAAUUUACACAACUAACCCCCUACUGUAUGCUCAUAUACUUAUGUGUGCUUAUGAAGUUCUCUCACAUUUUCUUGUAAUUUCAUUUUACAAUUAUAUAUAUCUUAACACUCUAACAAUUCUUCUGCUCUGUGUUUUUUUAAAAUACAAUCUCUAAUAUUUCUUUUAUUUCAAUUUCUCUGUUUAUAAAAAUUCUUUUAUAUAAUCUCUUCUUCUGAUCUUCUUUCUCUUUUUUUUUUUAAUUAAUUUAUAAACUGUUAUCAGA
rnacentral:sRNA from 2 species